GACGAACGCUGGAGGCGUGCUUAACACAUGCAAGUCGAACGGUAAGGCCCUUCGGGGUACACGAGUGGCGAACGGGUGAGUAACACGUGGGUGAUCUGCCCUGCACUUCGGGAUAAGCCUGGGAAACUGGGUCUAAUACCGGAUAGGACUCCUGGCUUCAUGGUUGGGGGUGGAAAGCUCUUGCGGUGUGGGAUGGGCCCGCGGCCUAUCAGCUUGUUGGUGGGGUAAUGGCCUACCAAGGCGACGACGGGUGGCCGGCCUGAGAGGGUGACCGGUCACACUGGGACUGAGAUACGGCCCAGAAUCCUACGGGAGGCAGCAGGGGGGAAUAUUGCACAAUGGGCGCAAGCCUGAUGCAGCGACGCCGCGUGAGGGAUGACGGCCUUCGGGUUGUAAACCUCUUUCAGCUAUGACGAAGCGCAAGUGACGGUAGUAGCAGAAGAAGGACCGGCCAACUACGUGCCAGCCGCCGCAGUAA
rnacentral:rRNA from 1 species